AAAAUCCGUUGACUUUAAAAAUCGUGAGGGUUCAAGUCCCUCUAUCCCCAA
rnacentral:tRNA from 1 species